GUAGUAUUCCCUCCGUCCCAAAAUUCUUGUCUUACAUUUGUUUAGAUACGGAUGUAUCUAACACUAAAAUGUAACUAGAUACAUCCAUAUUUAGACAAAUUUAAGACAAGAAUUUUGGGACGGAGGGAUUACAAA
rnacentral:pre_miRNA from 1 species